AACGAACGCUGGCGGCAGGCUUAACACAUGCAAGUCGAGCGCAUCCUUCGGGGUGAGCGGCGGACGGGUGAGUAACGCGUGGGAACGUGCCCUCUUCUACGGAAUAGCCUCGGGAAACUGAGAGUAAUGCCGUAUACGCCCGCAAGGGGAAAGAUUUAUCGGAGGAGGAUCGGCCCGCGUUGGAUUAGGUAGUUGGUGGGGUAACGGCCUACCAAGCCGACGAUCCAUAGCUGGUUUGAGAGGAUGAUCAGCCACACUGGGACUGAGACACGGCCCAGACUCCUACGGGAGGCAGCAGUGGGGAAUCUUGGACAAUGGGGGCAACCCUGAUCCAGCCAUGCCGCGUGAUCGAUGAAGGCCUUAGGGUUGUAAAGAUCUUUCAGCUGGGAAGAUAAGGACGGUACCAGCAGAAGAAGCCCCGGCGAACUCCGU
rnacentral:rRNA from 1 species